AGGAUGAAGUCAUCUGGCACAUGGCAGUUGCAAGGAGAAGGACCUCACCUUGUACCACAACAUAUGAUGGAAGCAAACCAAAGAAAAAAAGAAUUACUGCAACUUCCAGUCUCACUUCAGAUGAAGAUGAAACACAGAUUGACCCAUCACAAGUUCUUCAAACAAAUAUACAGUUAUUGCUGAAUUUCCAGGAACAACUGUGUCUGAUGUGAGAGCAGUGAUUCGGAGAAAAUGUAACAAUGAGAAUUUUGUGACCAAAAAGAAACAGUAAGCAGUAACAUCAGUAACUGAUUGUAAUAGUUUUUGUUUGUUUAUUUUUUGGUGGACAUACAUUUUGAGUUUACACAAACUGUGUCAAUGUUUCAAAAGUCAGUUUAAUGUUAAUUUCUGUCAUUACUAGCUUCUCUGCGGUGCACAGCUAGCACAUCUAUUGUUUCUUCUGAAGAUGAAGCUGUUCAGGUCUCUGUAAAAUUUGUUGAUAAACUUUUUUCUUUUUUUUUUGUGAACUUAAUAUUACUAAAAAUAAUUAUCUGGGGUCAAAUGAUCCAAAUUUGAAAAAAAAUGUUACGAUGAAGAGAAACUGUUUGAAAAUGUUGUUUAGAUGUACUGUACCAACACUAAACUUUACAUCUUUAAGUUGUACUUAAAUGUACUUGAUUUAUGCACAUUUUUCCUGCAA